rnacentral:sRNA from 2 species
CAAUUCCUUCACAUAAUCUCUAACAUUCUUCCACUCUGCACUCCACUGCAGCAUAACCCUCAAUAUUCUUCCAUUCCAAUCCUCCUUCUAUAAGAACCCCCUCAUACAACCCCUUCUUCUGAUCUUCUUUCUCUUUCUUUUCUUAAUCAAUUCAUAAACUGUUACCAGAAUAGUGUCAAGUCCAUUGAUAUUGCCAUUGGAACAGAUCAUACAAACUGCGCAGGCAGUACAAACAGUUUAAUCUGCAACAUCAGUAACAUCUGCUUAAUCAGUGGCACGCCCGUUACAGUCAGAAAACGCCCA